rnacentral:rRNA from 1 species
GAUGAACGCUGACAGAAUGCUUAACACAUUCAAGUCAACUGUGGCGGACGGGUGAGUAACGCGUAAAGAACUUGCCUCACAGAUAGGGACAACAUUUGGAAACGAAUUCUAAUACCUGAUACUGUGAUAGAGCUUUGCGUCCCAUUAGCUAGUUGGAGAGGUAACGGCUCACCAAGGCGAUGAUGGGUAGCCGGCCUGAGAGGGUGAUCGGCCACAAGGGGAAGGAGACACGGCACGUACUCCUACGGGAGGCAGCAGUGGGGAAUAUUGGACAAUAGACCAAAGUCUGAUGCAGAAAUUCUGGGUGAACGAUGAGGUUUUCGGCAUGUAAAUAGCUUUUAGUUGGGAAGCGGUACCAACAGAAGAAGAGACGGCUAAAUACGUGCCAGCAGCCGCGGUAAUUC